GACGUAGGGCGCGAGCGUUGUCCGGAUUUAUUGGGCGUAAAGAGCUCGUAGGCGGCUUGUCGCGUCGAUCGUGAAAACUUGGGGCUCAACCCCAAGCUUGCGGUCGAUACGGGCAGGCUAGAGUUUGGUAGGGGAGACUGGAAUUCCUGGUGUAGCGGUGAAAUGCGCAGAUAUCGGGAAGAACACCCGUGGCGAAGGCGGCUCUCUGGGACGGUACUGACGCUGAGACGCGAAAGCGUGGGGAGCGAACAGG
rnacentral:rRNA from 1 species